rnacentral:rRNA from 1 species
GGAUUAGAUACCCUGGUAGUCCACGCCCUAAACGAUGCGCGCUAGAUCGAGGCGUCUCUGACGGCGUCUCGGUCGAAGUGAAAACGUUAAGCGCGCCGCCUGGGGAGUACGGUCGCAAGGCUAAAACUCAAAGGAAUUGACGGGGGCUCACACAAGCGGUGGAGCAUGUGGCUUAAUUCGAAGCAACGCGAAGAACCUUAUCCUGGGCUUGACAUGCAUGGAUUAGCUGUUGGAAACUUCAGUGACGCCCUUUGGGUGGAACAUGCACAGGUGCUGCAUGGCUGUCGUCAGCUCGUGCUG